rnacentral:rRNA from 1 species
GUGCCAGCCGCCGCGGUAAUACGGAGGGUGCGAGCGUUGUCCGGAAUCACUGGGCGUAAAGGGCGCGUAGGCGGCCGUGUAAGUCACUUGUGAAAUCCCGGGGCUCAACUCCGGGGCUGCAGGUGAGACUGCAUGGCUAGAGCUUGGUAGAGGCGAGUGGAAUUCCCGGUGUAGCGGUGGAAUGCGUAGAUAUCGGGAAGAACACCGGUGGCGAAGGCGGCUCGCUGGGCCAAUGCUGACGCUGAGGCGCGAAAGCGUGGGGAGCAAACAGGAUUAGAUACCCUGGUAGUCC